rnacentral:rRNA from 1 species
GACGAACGCUGGCGGCGUGCUUAACACAUGCAAGUCGAACGGAAAGGCCCUGCUUUUGUGGGGUGCUCGAGUGGCGAACGGGUGAGUAACACGUGAGUAACCUGCCCUUGACUUUGGGAUAACUUCAGGAAACUGGGGCUAAUACCGGAUAGGAGCUCCUGCUGCAUGGUGGGGGUUGGAAAGUUUCGGCGGUUGGGGAUGGACUCGCGGCUUAUCAGCUUGUUGGUGGGGUAGUGGCUUACCAAGGCUUUGACGGGUAGCCGGCCUGAGAGGGUGACCGGCCACAUGGGGACUGAGAUACGGCCCAGAGUCCUACGGGAGGCAGCAGGGGGGAAUAUUGCACAAUGGGCGGAAGCCUGAUGCAGCAACGCCGCGUGCGGGAUGACGGCCUUCGGGUUGUAAACCGCUUUCGCCUGUGACGAAGCGUGAGUGACGGUAAUGGGUAAAGAAGCACCGGCUAACUACGUG